rnacentral:rRNA from 1 species
AACGAACGCUGGCGGCAGGCCUAACACAUGCAAGUCGAACGGACUCUUCGGAGUUAGUGGCGCACGGGUGAGGAACGCGUGGGAAUAUACCCUUAGGUAAGGAAUAAUAUCUGGAAACGGAUACUAAUACCUUAUAAUGACUUCGGUCCAAAGAUUUAUCGCCUAAGGAUUAGCCCGCGUUAGAUUAGAUAGUUGGUGAGGUAACGGCUCACCAAGUCUACGAUCUAUAGGGGGUCUGAGAGGAUGAUCCCCCACACUGGAACUGAGACACGGUCCAGACUCCUACGGGAGGCAGCAGUGAGGAAUAUUGGACAAUGGAGGAAACUCUGAUCCAGCCAUGCCGCGUGAGUGAAGAAGGCCUUAGGGUUGUAAAGCUCUUUCAGAUGCGAAGAUAAUGACGGUAACAUCAGAAGAAGCCCCGGCUAAAUUCG